CUCUAUCCCAUGGGAUUGGCUGUAGAGAGGGUAUUGAUUUUAACAUGUUGAUUCGAUAAUGCCUGCUUAGUUAGAGAUCGCUAAAGGGAUUUAGGUCAGUGUCUAGCUUUACUUGAGGAUUUCUAUCACGGGAGUGAAUUAAUCUGUUGUUGAACUUGUUGUCUAGGGAUAGCUUCUGUGAAGUUUUGUCAACCGCCUGAAUAGAUUAAGUAGACCACACUAUUCGAUUCCCCAUCCUUAGGAAUCGUUUAUCCAUUUGAUUGCCUGUUAUCAUUUCUGCUUUGUCAUUUACUUGCCUGCUAUUGCCAUUUCUGCUUUUAGUUUCAUUUCAUUUCUGUUAUUGCAUACUAGGACUGUUAGAACCAACCAACUUUCUGUUUGGCUUGACUUAGAGCUUUUUGAUCAUAUCUCAUCUGUUUGCAUCACACCGGAUUGGAUUGACAUCCUAAAAUAGUACAACGAUAGGAUAGUGUUUUAGGGAUUAAGUGAGUAAAAUCCUACUAUCAAUCUGUAAUUGAAGUGGUUUUUUUGUAGAAAAGA
rnacentral:sRNA from 1 species